CUGGUUGAUCCUGCCAGUAGGCAUAUGCUUGUCUCAAAGAUUAAGCCAUGCAUGUCUAAGUACGAACUAAUUCAGACUGUGAAACUGCGGAUGGCUCAUUAAAUCAGUUAUAGUUUUUUUGAUGGUACCAUAUUACUCGGAUAUACGUAGUAAUUCUAGAGCUAAUACGUGCACCAAGUCCCGAAUUUUUGGAAGGGAUGCAUUUUUUAGGUAAAAGGCCAGCACGGGCUUGCCCGCUUCUCCGGUGAAUCAUGAUAACUCGACAGAUCGCACAGCCCUUGUGUUGGCGAUGCUUCAUUCAAAUUUCUUCCCUAUCAACUUUCGAUGGUAGGAUAGAGGCCUACCAUGGUGGUGACGGGUGACGGAGAAUUAGGGUUCGAUUUCGGAGAGGGAGCCUGAGAAACGGCUACCACAUCCAAGGAAGGCAGCAGGCACGCAAAUUACCCAAUCCUGACAUGGGGAUGUAGUGACAAUAAAUAACAAUACUGGGCUCAUCGAGUCUAGUAAUUGGAAUGAGUACAAUCUAAAUCCCUUAACUAGGAUCCAUUGGGGGGCAAGUCUGGU
rnacentral:rRNA from 1 species